rfam:Schistosoma mattheei strain Denwood, Zambia genome assembly, scaffold: SMTD_scaffold0010563
GUCCAGCUGACGAGUCUUAAACUGAACGAAACACACGUCCUGGAU